rnacentral:rRNA from 1 species
UACGGAAGGUCCGAGCGUUAUCCGGAUUUAUUGGGUUUAAAGGGUGCGUAGGCGGGAGGACAAGUCAGCCGUGAAAUCGCGUGGCUCAACCACGCCGAGCGGUUGAAACUGUCUUUCUUGAGUACGGUGAGGGAAGGCGGAAUUCGUGGUGUAGCGGUGAAAUGCAUAGAUAUCACGAAGAACUCCGAUCGCGCAGGCAGCUUUCCGUCCCGCAACUGACGCUGAGGCACGAAGGUGCGGGUAUC